AUGUAUGGCUAUGAGGACAAGGAAGAGUUUGAAGAAGCAUUUGCCAACAUGAGGUUAAAGAUGCAUAAGCAAACUUGGUUCGAUAGUAUCUACAAGGUAAAAGAAAAGUGGGCUGAAUGUUUUAUGAGAGACGUCUUCAGUUUGGGAGUGAGAAGCACAAAAUUAAGUGAGAGCUUCAACAAUUUAUUGAAGAACCAUUUGAAAUCUGAUUUCCAUAUUGUUAGAUUUUUAAAGCAUUUUGAAAGGAUAGUGGAACAAAAAAGAAACAAAGAGCUGGAAUCUGAAUUUGAAGCAAGAAAAAACAUACCAAGAAUCAAGAUGAGCACGCCUAUGUUGGUACAAGCAAGCAAAGUGUACACUCCAACCAUUUUUGAAGCUUUCCAAAGUGAGUAUGAAAGAUCCAUGGCUGCAUGUAGUAGAGUAUUGGAUGGAAACAAAUAUGUUGUUGCUAUUGGUAGUUUGCAUGGUGAUUCAACUUUUGAGGAUGAGCGCAUAGUGAUAGGUGAUCCUUUUAACCAAACAGCAACAUGCACUUGUGGAAUGUUUGAAAGGGCAGGAGUGUUGUGUGGACAUGGAUUGAAAGUUCUUGAUUUGAUGAACAUAAAGACACUAGCAACACAUUAUGUCUUGAAGAGAUGGACUAGGUAA
rnacentral:rRNA from 1 species